UAGUUUGUUUGGACGCCAUUGGCCAUGCUGUGGAAAAAAUCGAAGUCAGUGCUUCGAUUAUGUGAUUCAUGUUCUAUUAAUAAUUCAACAACAAGAAGAUUUCUUGUGUCGAUCGUGGGGAAAACAGAAGAUGAAAGGAAGGCUCUUUUCGAAGCGGAUAACAUUAGAAAAGGCAGAUCCUUCAAGACCGUCGAAGAGAAGGAGAAGGUUUUUCGGUUCUGGAAGUUGAUCAGGCUCAUUGAACACCCAGACCCCAUCGAUAAGCUAGCCUACCGGAACCUCCAAGUCCGAACCAAACGGGUUGAUCAGGAUUGAGAUGAAAGUUCUUUGGAUUCUCAGAUUAUGCUUUGGACCUUAAUUUAUUUUCGUUAAGCUUUAGACUUUUUUAAUUUGCAUUUAUUUUGGUUGAUGUAUUUUGAUUAUGCACUUUGGUAUUCAAGUAUUUCUUUUGAGCUUA